AACGAACGCUGGCGGCAUGCCUAACACAUGCAAGUCGAACGAGAUCUUCGGGUCUAGUGGCGCACGGGUGCGUAACGCGUGGGAAUAUGCCCUUUGGUUCGGAAUAACAGUUGGAAACGACCGCUAAUACCGGAUGAUGACGAAAGUCCAAAGAUUUAUCGCCAGAGGAUGAGCCCGCGUAGGAUUAGCUAGUUGGUGUGGUAAAGGCGCACCAAGGCGACGAUCCUUAGCUGGUCUGAGAGGAUGAUCAGCCACACUGGGACUGAGACACGGCCCAGACUCCUACGGGAGGCAGCAGUGGGGAAUAUUGGACAAUGGGCGAAAGCCUGAUCCAGCAAUGCCGCGUGAGUGAUGAAGGCCUUAGGGUUGUAAAGCUCUUUUACCCGGGAUGAUAAUGACAGUACCGGGAGAAUAAGCUCCGGCUAACUCCGUGCCAGCCGCCGCGGUAA
rnacentral:rRNA from 1 species